rnacentral:ncRNA from 2 species
ACUUUUGCCGCGCAUUGUGGUUCCUUCAAGUGAAGGAUUAAAAGGGAAUUUCGUGCAAAACGAAAGCUGUUCCCGCAACUGUAAGACUCAUUUCAUCGUUUGAUCAACCCCGCCACUGGGCUUAAUUCCCGGGAAGGCCGGUCAAACAGAGUCAAGCCAGGAGACCUGCCCGAUGCCUGUUACCGGU